rnacentral:rRNA from 1 species
UUGGUUAAGUUAGAAAGGGCGCACGGUGGAUGCCUUGGCACUAGGAGCCGAAGAAGGACGGGACUAACACCGAUAUGCUUUGGGGAGCUGUACGUAAGCGUUGAUCCAGAGAUUUCCGAAUGGGGGAACCCACUAUCUUUAGUCGGAUAGUAUCCUUACGUGAAUACAUAGCGUGAGGAAGGCAGACCCAGGGAACUGAAACAUCUAAGUACCUGGAGGAAGAGAAAGAAAAAUCGAUUUCCUGAGUAGCGGCGAGCGAAACGGAAAGAGCCCAAACCAAGAAGCUUGCUUCUUGGGGUUGUAGGACACUCUAUACGGAGUUACAAAAGAAAGUUAUAAAUGAAGCGGUCUGGAAAGGCCCGCCAAAGACGGUAACAGCCCGGUAGUUGAAAUGGCUUUCCCUCCAGAGUGGAUCCUGAGUACGGCGGAACACGUGAAAUUCCGUCGGAAUCCGGGAGGACCAUCUCCCAAGGCUAAAUACUCCCUAGUGACCGAUAGUGAACCAGUACCGUGAGGGAAAGGUGAAAAGCACCCCGGAAGGGGAGUGAAACAGUUCCUGAAACCGUGUGCCUACAAGUAGUUAGAGCCCGUUAAUGGGUGAUAGCGUGCCUUUUGUAGAAUGAACCGGCGAGUUACGAUUUGUUGCAAGGUUAAGCGGAAAAAGCGGAGCCGUAGCGAAAGCGAGUCUGAAUAGGGCGCAUAAGUAACAGGUCGUAGACCCGAAACCAGGUGAUCUACC